rnacentral:rRNA from 1 species
UAGCGGCGGACGGGUGAGUAACGCGUGGGAACGUGCCCUUUGGUUCGGAAUAGCCCUGGGAAACUGGGAGUAAUACCGGAUAAGCCCUUCGGGGGAAAGAUUUAUCGCCAAAGGAUCGGCCCGCGUUGGAUUAGGUAGUUGGUGGGGUAACGGCCUACCAAGCCGACGAUCCAUAGCUGGUUUGAGAGGAUGAUCAGCCACACUGGGACUGAGACACGGCCCAGACUCCUACGGGAGGCAGCAGUGGGGAAUCUUAGACAAUGGGCGCAAGCCUGAUCUAGCCAUGCCGCGUGAGCGAUGAAGGCCUUAGGGUUGUAAAGCUCUUUCAGGGGGGAAGAUAAUGACGGUACCCCCAGAAGAAGCCCCGGCUAACUCCGUGCCAGCAGCCGCGGUAAUACGGAGGGGGCUAGCGUUGUUCGGAAUUACUGGGCGUAAAGCGCACGUAGGCGGAUCGGAAAGUCAGGGGUGAAAUCCCGGGGCUCAACCCCGGAACUGCCUUUGAAAC